rnacentral:rRNA from 1 species
CCCUUAGAUGUUCUGGGCCGCACGCGCGCUACACUGAUGCAUUCAACGAGUCCAACCUUGACCGAGAGGUCCGGGUAAUCUUUGAAACUGCAUCGUGAUGGGGCUAGAUUAUUGCAAUUAUUAAUCUUCAACGAGGAAUGCCUAGUAAGCGUGAUUCAUCAAAUCGCGUUGAUUACGUCCCUGCCCUUUGUACACACCGCCCGUCGCUCCUACCGAUUGAGUGUGUUGGUGAGGAGUUUGGAUUGGCCUCGGAAGGUGGUUCGCCACCGUCCGUAGCUGAGAAGUUCUCCAAACCGCCCCACUUAGAGGAAGGAGAAGUUGUAACA